rnacentral:rRNA from 1 species
AACGAACGCUGGCGGCAGGCCUAAAACAUGCAAGUCGAACGAACCUUCGGGUUAGUGGCGCACGGGUGAGUAACACGUGGGAACGUACCCUUUGGUGCGGAACAACGUCUGGAAACGGACGCUAAUACCGCAUAAUAUCUACGGAUCAAAGAUUUAUCGCCAAAGGAACGGCCCGCGUUAGAUUAGGUAGUUGGUAGGGUAAUGGCCUACCAAGCCUACGAUCUAUAGCUGGUUUGAGAGGAUGAUCAGCCACACUGGGACUGAGACACGGCCCAGACUCCUACGGGAGGCAGCAGUUAGGAAUAUUGGACAAUGGGGGAAACCCUGAUCCAGCCAUGCCGCGUGUGUGAAGAAGGCCUUAGGGUUGUAAAGCACUUUCAUCUGCGAAGAUAAUGACAGUAACAGAAGAAGAAGCUCCGGCUAAAUUCGUGCCAGCCGCCGCCGUAA